AUGGAGAGAUAUAGGGAGCAAAAGAAGGACUUGCAUAUGGUGUUCAUUGACUUGGAGAAGGCCUAUGAUAAGAUACCGCGAAAUGUCAUGUGGUGGGCCUUGGAGAAACACAAAGUCCCAGCAAAGUACAUUACCCUCAUCAAGGACAUGUACGAUAAUGUUGUGACAAGUGUUCAAACAAGUGAUGUCGACACUGAUGACUUCCCGAUUAAGAUAGGACUGCAUCAGGGGUCAGCUUUGAGCCCUUAUCUUUUUGCAUUGGUGAUGUAUGAGGUCACAAGGGAUAUACAAGGAGAUAUCCCAUGGUGUAUGCUCUUUGCGGAUGAUGUGGUGCUAGUUGACGAUAGUUGGGCAAGGGUAAAUAGGAAGUUAGAGUUAUGGAGACAAACCUUGGAAUCGAAAGGGUUUAGGCUUAGUAGGACUAAAACCGAGUACAUGAUGUGCGGUUUCAGUACUACUAGGUGUGAGGAGGAGGAGGUUAGCCUUGAUGGUCAGGUGGUACCUCAGAAGGACACCUUUCGGUAUUUGGGGUCAAUGCUGUAG
rnacentral:rRNA from 1 species